UACUGUCUACAGGCUUAGCUCUCACAAGUUGUGCGAUGAUUAUCCUACUAAUUAUUCUUGUUGUAAUUACUGCGACUGAGGAGCAUUCCACAGUUACAGCUAGAGAUCCGGUAUAUCCUGCACGCGUUUUUGGACAUUCU